GAAAGUGGCGGGGGGUGCCUAUACAUGCAAGUCGAACGCUUUGUGGUUCAACUGAUUUGAAGAGCUUGCUCAGAUAUGACGAUGGACAUUGCAAAGAGUGGCGAACGGGUGAGUAACACGUGGGAAACCUACCUCUUAGCAGGGGAUAACAUUUGGAAACAGAUGCUAAUACCGUAUAACAAUGACAACCGCAUGGUUGUUAUUUAAAAGAUGGUUCUGCUAUCACUAAGAGAUGGUCCCGCGGUGCAUUAGCUAGUUGGUAAGGUAAUGGCUUACCAAGGCGAUGAUGCAUAGCCGAGUUGAGAGACUGAUCGGCCACAAUGGGACUGAGACACGGCCCAUACUCCUACGGGAGGCAGCAGUAGGGAAUCUUCCACAAUGGGCGAAAGCCUGAUGGAGCAACGCCGCGUGUGUGAUGAAGGGUUUCGGCUCGUAAAACACUGUUGUAAGAGAAGAAUGACAUUGAGAGUAACUGUUCAAUGUGUGACGGUAUCUUACCAGAAAGGAACGGCUAAAUACGUGCCAGCAGCCGCGGUAAUACGUAUGUUCCAAGCGUUAUCCGGAUUUAUUGGGCGUAAAGCGAGCGCAGACGGUUAUUUAAGUCUGAAGUGAAAGCCCUCAGCUCAACUGAGGAAUUGCUUUGGAAACUGGAUGACUUGAGUGCAGUAGAGGAAAGUGGAACUCCAUGUGUAGCGGUGAAAUGCGUAGAUAUAUGGAAGAACACCAGUGGCGAAGGCGGCUUUCUGGACUGUAACUGACGUUGAGGCUCGAAAGUGUGGGUAGCAAACAGGAUUAGAUACCCUGGUAGUCCACACCGUAAACGAUGAGUGCUAGGUGUUUGAGGGUUUCCGCCCUUAAGUGCCGCAGCUAACGCAUUAAGCACUCCGCCUGGGGAGUACGACCGCAAGGUUGAAACUCAAAGGAAUUGACGGGGACCCGCACAAGCGGUGGAGCAUGUGGUUUAAUUCGAAGCAACGCGAAGAACCUUACCAGGUCUUGACAUCCCUUGACAACUCCAGAGAUGGAGCGUUCCCUUCGGGGACAAGGUGACAGGUGGUGCAUGGUUGUCGUCAGCUCGUGUCGUGAGAUGUUGGGUUAAGUCCCGCAACGAGCGCAACCCUUAUUACUAGUUGCCAGCAUUCAGUUGGGCACUCUAGUGAGACUGCCGGUGACAAACCGGAGGAAGGUGGGGAUGACGUCAAAUCAUCAUGCCCCUUAUGACCUGGGCUACACACGUGCUACAAUGGCGUAUACAACGAGUUGCCAACCCGCGAGGGUGAGCUAAUCUCUUAAAGUACGUCUCAGUUCGGAUUGUAGGCUGCAACUCGCCUACAUGAAGUCGGAAUCGCUAGUAAUCGCGGAUCAGCACGCCGCGGUGAAUACGUUCCCGGGUCUUGUACACACCGCCCGUCACACCAUGAGAGUUUGUAACACCCAAAGCCGGUGGGGUAACCUUCGGGAGCCAGCCGUCUAAGGUGACCAGAU
rnacentral:rRNA from 1 species